CGGCGUAGCUCAGUGGCUAGAGCGACGGUCUCCAAAACCGAUGGUCGCGGGUUCGAAUCCUGUCGUCG
rnacentral:tRNA from 1 species